rnacentral:rRNA from 1 species
ACGUAGGGUGCGAGCGUUAAUCGGAAUUACUGGGCGUAAAGCGUGCGCAGGCGGUUUCGUAAGACAGAUGUGAAAUCCCCGGGCUUAACCUGGGAACUGCGUUUGUGACUGCGCAACUUGAGUGCGGGAGAGGGGGGUGGAAUUCCACGUGUAGCAGUGAAAUGCGUAGAUAUGUGGAGGAACAUCGAUGGCGAAGGCAGCCCCCUGGGUCGACACUGACGCUGAGGCGCGAAAGCGUGGGGAGCAAACAG